UACAGAGGUCUCAAGCGUUGUUCGGAAUUACUGGGCGUAAAGCGCGUGUAGGCGGCAACGCAAGUCGGGCGUGAAAUCCCACGGCUCAACCGUGGAAGUGCACUCGAAACUGCGUAGCUAGAGUCCUGGAGAGGAAGGUGGAAUGCUUGGUGUAGAGGUGAAAUUCGUAGAUAUCAAGCGGAGCACCGGUGGCGAAGGCGGCCUUCUGGACAGUGACUGACGCUGAGACGCGAAAGCGUGGGGAGCAAACAGG
rnacentral:rRNA from 1 species